AGUGAAACAAAUUCUGAAAUGCAAUGCCUAUUCUUUAUAUGUCCAAAUUUGAAGACCCGUUACUCGCUUGGCUGGAAAGCCACAGAGAAGACGACUGAGGUUGCUAAGCUCCGACAGAAAGGUGAAUUAUUUCGAAAUGUGGCCAAACCUAAACAAUUGGUGCAAAUACCUUGUCAAAACUCCUAUGACUUUGGAGCUUUCGAAACAAGGAUAUCAAUUAAAAAGGAAAUCAUGGAUACUCUAAAGGACAAAAAAGUCAGCAUAAUUCUGAUCUGUGGCAUGGGUGGAGUAGGUAAGACGACAAUGGCAAAAGAAAUAACUAAGGAAGCUAAAGCUGAAAGAUUAUUUGAAGAGUUUGUAUGGGCAGAUAUAUCUGGAGAUCCAAAGGUAACCAAAAUUCAGGAUGAACUUGCUGAAGGUCUCGGUUUGAACAUUAAAGAUACUACUAAUGAAAGUGUGAGAGCUGGACGACUUCAUAAAAGACUUGGAGAUCAUAGAAGUAAGAGCAUUCUCUUAAUAUUGGAUGAUGUUUGGGAAGAUACAGUGUUGGAAACUAUAGGAGUUCCUUUAGCAGGGGAUAAUAAAGGGUUGAAAAUUUUAUUAACAUCACGCGAUAAAGAUGUGUUCACAAGAAUGAGAAGGAAAAGAAUAUGUAACGUCAAUCUUUUAAAUGAAAAAGAAUCAUGGGAACUUUUCAAGGAAAAUGCAGAAAUUUCUGAUGAUGCAACAGAUAUUAUAAAGGAUACGGCAAAAAAAAUUGCAAAGAAAUGUGAUUAUUUCGAAAUGUGGCCAAACCUAAACAAUUGGUGCAAAUACCUUGUCAAAACUCCUAUGACUUUGGAGCUUUCGAAACAAGGAUAUCAAUUAAAAAGGAAAUCAUGGAUACUCUAAAGGACAAAAAAGUCAGCAUAAUUCUGAUCUGUGGCAUGGGUGGAGUAGGUAAGAC
rnacentral:lncRNA from 1 species